rnacentral:rRNA from 1 species
UACGGGGGGGGCAAGCGUUGUUCGGAAUUACUGGGCGUAAAGGGCUCGUAGGCGGCCAACUAAGUCAGACGUGAAAUCCCUCGGCUUAACCGGGGAACUGCAUCUGAUACUGGAUGGCUUGAGUUCGGGAGAGGGAUGCGGAAUUCCGAGGUGUAGCGGUGAAAUGCGUAGAUAUCUGGAGGAACACCGGUGGCGAAGGCGGCAUCCUGGACCGACACUGACGCUGAGGAGCGAAAGCCAGGGGA